GCGGGCGUGGCGGAAUUGGCAGACGCGCGGGACUUAAAAUCCCGUUCGCCUCGCGGCGAGUGUGGGUUCGACCCCCACCGCCCGCACCA
rnacentral:tRNA from 1 species